GAGAAGAGUGUGAGCUCCACGGCUCACACUCUUUGGUGUCCCUGCUAGCUUGUAAACGCUUUGAGGACAGCGACUGUGUUCUGAUCAGUGCAUCAAUGAAUGAAUGAGAGGGAGAAAGGGAAAGAAGAUGAAGAUAUGAUGGCUGAAAUUGGCUGAAGUCAGCACACCCCUCCACUGGCAGCAAUGGCUCCACUGCAGUCGGGCUUUCCCAUGUGGAAGGUGGAAGUUUACAGUUUGGGGUUUACCUGAUUUAGGUUUCUUUUCUCCAUCUUUCUCCCAGUUGGGCGCCUACUGCUCAGAUCUGAGCACAAUGGUGGGCAGUUGAUGGAUAUGGGGAAAUCAUGAAAUAGGUAAAAUGCCAAUGGGCCCACCAUCUCAACAAUUACCAUUCAUCCCAUUCCGUGCGCCCACCAGGAGGUCGAUGCUUGCCCCAGAAGCAAAACCUCCAGGGAAAAAAUUAAAACACUUGUCUAUGAAACAGGUGGCCAGCCCCAUACCAAGCAGCAUGCUACCAAAUGCCAGUCUUAGUGGGGUUCAGGAAGGAGCUGGGAAGAGAGGGUUUUGUGGCUGGCUGGAAAAUGGAGAAGCGUAUAAAUUGGGUCCAGGGAUGGCCUAAAAGUGGUCUGUAGACCUCCCAGAAAUUCAAAUGGCAGCUACUAUCAAUUUUUUUUUUUGUCUCUUUAGCUUUGCCUUUUCCAGAAUGUCAUAUAAAUGAACUAAUACAGCAUACAGCCUUUUGAGAAUAAACUUCUUUCAAUUAAUAGAAUGCAUUUGAGAUUCAUCCACCUGGUUGCAUUUAUCAGCAAUGCUUUCAUUUUUACUGCUGAGUAGUAUUCCACUGUAUAGAUGUAAGAAUAUUUGUUUAUCUGUUCCUGGUUUUCAGUGAUUGUAUGUCAAGCUUCUGUAAACAUUCAUGCAUGACUUUUUGUAUGAUUAUACACUUUUAUUUCUCUUAGAAAAAUACUUAGGAGGGGACUGCUGGGUCAUAUCAUAAGUAUAUGAGUUUUUGAAAGUCACUGCCAAAAUGUUUUCUUGAGUGGCUGUAUCAUUUUACAUUCUUGCCAGCAAUGUUCCAAUUACUCUAUACCUUUACCAGCAUUUGGAAUGCCAGUUCUUUUGAUUUUAGCCAUUCUAAUAGGUGGGUAGUGAUAUUUAGUGGUUUCAGUUUGCAUUUCUUUAAUGAUUAAGCCUUAUUUAUCAUUUAGGUGUUUUAUCACUUAUAGAUUCUAGGAGGUUUUUAUAAAUUCCUUGGGAUUUCUGUGUAGACCACCAUGUCAUCUGAAAACAGGGACAAUUUUAGUUCUUCCUAAUCAGUAUUCCUUUUAUUCCCUUUUUAAAUAACCAUGGUGAGAGCACAUAUCUGGUCUUAAUUGCUCAUCUUAGGAGGAAAGCAUUCAGUCUUGCACAUUAAGUAGAAAUAUUAGCUGAAGAUAUUUAUUUUUGUGGGUAUUAUGGUAGACAGCUUUUAAGAGGGUCCUUAAUGAUCCCUGCCUCCUGAUACCUGUGCCCUUUUAUACUCCCCUUUUCUAGAUUUGAUAUAGGAAAAGAACAUGCCAAAAGUGAUGAAAUAUCUCUUUUGAGAUUAGGUUACAAAAAGACUGUGACUUCCCCCUUGGGUACUCUUUUGUGGUCUCUUGUUCACUUGCUCUGAAGGAAGCCAGGUGCCAUGUUGUCAGCUAUUCUAUGGAAAGGAACUGAGAGAGGCCCACAGCUAGGGAAGAAUUGAGGCCUCCUGUCCAACAAUUCCAUGAGAAAGUGAAUACUACCAAUAACUAUGUGAGUGAGCUUGGAAGUGGAUCACCCAGUGAGUCUUAAGAUCUUGAGACUGGAGUCCCAGACAACAAGUUAAGUUCAACCUUGUGAGAAACCUUGAGCCAGAGGCACUUAGCUAAGUCAUACCCGGAUUCCUAACCUACAAAAGUUGAGAUGAAUGUUUGCUGUUGAGUUUGGGGGUAAUUUGUUAUGCAGCCAUAUAUAACUAACAGAAGCCUUUUAUCAGGUUGAGAAAGUUAUUUUAAUUCCUAGUUUGCUUUGUUUUUUAAAAUCAUGAAUGAAUAUUUGUCAAACUCUUUUCUUUGUGGUUGCACAUGCCUGCAGUCCCAGCAACUUGCAAGGCUGAUGCAGGAGGAUCACAAGCUUCAGUAACUUAGUGAAACCUGUCUCAAAAAAUAAAAAGGACUAAGAAUGUAGCCUAGGAUAAAGCCACUCUGGGUCCCUAGAUUCCAUCCCAGUACCAAAUCAACAACAACAGCAACUUAAUCUAUAUAUCAUAUUAUUUUUCUUAUUAAGUUUGUUGCUACAGUAAAUUACACUGAUAUUUAAAAUGUGGAGCCAGGCAUGGUGGUACACAGCUGCAAUACCAGUGGUUCAUGAGGCUGAGGCAGGAAACACUUUUGAAAUCAUUUUAGGAGAUCAGCAUUACCCUGAUACCAAGAGUAGACAAAAAACUAUAGCUCAGUAUCUCUCAGAAACAUUGAACAUUCUCAAUAAAAUACUCCAAUUCCAUUCAACAGUACGUUAGAAUGAUAGAACAUGAUAAAUAAGUUGGGUUUAUCCUAACAAUGAGAGGCUGGGUCCAUAUAUAUAUAUAUUCUUUUUUUUGGCACUGGGGAUUGAACCCACGGGCGCUUUACCAUUGAGCUACCUCCCCUGUCCUUUUUAUUUUUUAUUUUGAGACAGGGUCUUUGGCUAAGUUGCUGAGGCUAGACUUGAAUUGUCUUAACCUUGCUUCUGUCUUAACCUCCUGAGUCUCUGGGAUUAUAGGCAUGAGCCAUUGUGCCCCAAGGUAUUUUCCUUUGAAGUACCACUCCAAAGGCAUCACAGAAAUCUUGAUAUGUUGUAUUUUUAUUUUUAUUCUGUUCAAAAUAUUUUCUAAUUUCCCUUGUGACUUUCUGCUUGACCCAUGGGUUAUUUUGAAAUGUGUUGUUUAAAUUCCAGCUAUUUGGGGAUUUUCCAGAUAUCUCUCGGUUAUUGAGUCCCAGUUUAAUUCCAGUGUUUUCUGAGAACUUAUUUUGUAGGAUUUAAAUUCUUUAAAAUGUGUUGAAGUUGGCUUUAUGGCCCAGGAUGUGGUCUAUGUUGGUAAAUGUUUCUGACAAUUAAAUGUUUUGAAAUGAAAUGAGAAAAUCAGUGUGAAUUUCU
rnacentral:lncRNA from 1 species